rnacentral:lncRNA from 1 species
CAGUAAAGUAGAAUGUGAACUUGGGGACAUGGACUGUGAGACACAUCAUCUGAAGGGCAUUGAUAGUGCCGCUAUAAAUAGAACGAAGCAUGUUCCAGCAGCAUUGCUGAUGGCAAGGCAGUUAGCUUCCCAGACACCACCUCUGGGCGUUACCAUGACUCAUGGGAGUGACAGGUAGCUCUUUUGUGGGUGCAGUGGGUUGAAUGGUGGCCCCUAAAAAGAUAUGUUUACCUCCAAAUCCCUAGAACUUGUGCAUGUUACUUUAUUUGGAAAAUUGAUCUUUGCAGAUGUAAUGAAGUUAAGAAUCUUAAUAUAAGAUUAUCCUGGAAUACCUGACUGGGACCUAAAUCCAAUGACAACCGUCCUUAUAAGAAAAGUGGAGACACGUGGAGGCAAAGGUGCUGUGAACAUGAAGCUAGAGAUAGCAGUGAUGUGGCCACAAGCCAAGGAAGCCCGGGAAUGCCAACAGCCACCAAAAGCUGGAAGAGGUAGGGAGGGAUUCACCUCUAGAGACUCCAGAGGGUCAUGGCCCUGCUGACACCUUGAUUUCGGAAUCCCAGCCUCCAAAAUGGAACAGGGCCAAGGGAGGUGGUCAGCAGAAAUGAAGCACUGUCCGGAUGGUGUGAAAGUGAUCUAUGCUGUGGUCAGAACAGUGGAAGGCCAUGAACUUUGCCGGCGAGUGCCUUUGUUCUGAGUCAAAGUGUUCCUCGGUAUGUGAAGGACAUCAGGUCCAAAGGCUGCUAGUGACUGAACAGAUAACGUGAAUUCCAUCAAAGCUUGACUUCUGCUCAUCCCUACCUCUCCUCCCGAAGAUAGUACGGUAAGUGUGGCAUCCAGGCAAGUGUCUGAUUUUCUGUUUCUUCUGUUCAAUUGAGGAACCAACUCUGUUCCUACAGAGAAAACCACAGAAUGAUUAUUUUGGAGUGGUAACCAUUUCUGGCUUUAGUACUUUAGUUCCCAUUUAUUGCUGCGUGUAUCCUUGGUUUCCUUCUGUGUGGUUGCUGGUCCUAAAAUCUCCAUUUGCUUCCAAGUUGGUCAAUUGGUCAGGCCCUUUCUGUCUUGAAUGUGGCCAGACUGUGACUUUAAUUUCAACUAAUACAAUAUGCCAAAGGUGAUAGGAUGUCCAUUCUGGAUUAUAUUACCCAAGACAGAAGCUUACAGAGCUUAAAUGUUCACCUUGCUGGGAGACCCUGUCCUUGCUGGCUGUGAGGAAGCAGGCUGCCAUAUUGUGAGCACGGAGAGGAAAGGUGGCAAGGAACUGAGAGCAGCCAACAGCUGACAGCCAGGAAGAAUCUGAGGCCACAAGGUGCUGAAUGCUGUCAACAACCACAUGAGCUUGGAAGCAUGUUCUUCCCCAGGCAAGCAGAGGAAUGAGAACCCAGCCCUGGCUGGCACUUGAUUGCAGCUUGCUGGUGAGACCCUGACACACAGGACCCAGCUAAACAUACCUGGACUCCUAAUCCACUGAAACUGUGAGGAAAUAAAUGCAUGUUCUUUUAAGCUGCUGAUUAAGUUGUUAUACAGCAAUAGAUAAUUAAUACUUAAUUAUCUAAUUAAUACAUAUUAAUAUUUUGGCAACAUACACUAUGUUCCUAAGGUACCUCGGAAAAUCCUCAGAACCAUGUGUUGCAAAUGGCAAUGCUGUGGUACAAUGGGGUCUCCUAAACACUGAUAAUGGGUGAUGCAAUCACUUUGCAAAACAAUUUGACAAGAGCUAGUAUAGGUGAGACUGUUCGUCUCCUGUGACUCCUAGAAAUAUGCCCCAGGAAAACUCUUGCCCAUGGUACCAGGUAACAAAUUGGAGGCAGCAUUGUAUUAACAACAAAUUGAACACAACCCAAGUGUUCACCAACUGGAGAAUGGACAAAUCAAUUGUGAUUCUUCAUAAAACAGCUAUAGCAGUGAAAAUGAAGCCCUCUUCAUUAGGAAAGGCUUUCCUCUUAAAGCCACUGACCAUGUCUUAUUCAUCUCUGAGUUUUCUCAUCUGCAAAAUAGGAUAAUAAUAGUGCCUACUGCUUAGGGCUAUAAAUUAGACACUUUAAGUCGUGAGCUUAACACUGUGCCUGACAUUUAGUAAGUAAAUGCUCAUUAAAUGCUACCUCUAAAUCUCCAGGGCUUCGCACAGUACCUGGCACAUACCUUAUAAAUAUUAAUUGAAUAAAUGAUUAAAUGCAAGGAUUGAUGCAGAAGGCCAGUACAUCAACACCUCAUGUCAAAAGAAGAAGUGUCUGAAGUUAUCAUCCCUCAAGGUCUGCCAGAAGGAACCAAACAUGUAGAAAACAGACCUCCCAAGGUGAUUGAGCAAACCCAGGCAGAAGCUGGCCUCAUUAAGGGGGUGUCUGCUAGAGGCUGCUUCUUGGUUCUACCCACUCUGGGCACCAGGUUCUUGACUGGAAUAGAUAAUAGAUAUGCGGAUUUCAGCCAAGUGCAGUGGCUCACACCUGUAAUCCCAGCACUUUGGGAGGCCGAGGUGGGCAGAUCACUUGAGGUCAGGAGUUCACGACCACCCUGGCCAACAUGGUGAAACCCUGUCUCUACUCAAAAUACAAAAAUGAGUCUGGUGUGAUGGCGCAUGCCUGUAACCCCAACUACUCAGGAGGCUCACUUGAACCUGGAGAGCAGAGGUUGCAGUGAGCCGAGAUCGACCCGUUGCACUCCAGCCUGGGCAACACAGCAAGACUCCAUCUCAAAAAAGAAAAGAAAAGAAAAACAUAUGCAGAUUUCACCCAGGGUUCUUUAAAUUCGGGGCUUUAUAAACCCAUACCUUGUGUUAAGAACAACAAGCAAUGUACAUACCUAUAGACAAUGAAAUAUAUACGAUAAUCGGCAGAUCCUGAUAUGACUUUUUGAUUCCAUCGUUUGAAGGAUCAGAUAAUGAUAAUAACAUUCAAUGCUGCAUUUGCUCUUUCUCUCAUUCACUAUGGCUUCAUGCAUUCUACCCACAAAGAUUUAUUGAGGACAACCCUAUGCCAGUCACUGGGUUAAGCCCUGGAAUACUGCAGUGAGCUCAACAGGCCUGCUCACUCUCCUCAGGCUUGCUUAAAGACAGAUCUGGUCUGAACCUCUUCUACAUGUGCUGAGCAGCCCAUACCCUCCCUGCUAGCUGUUUGUGCUAUGCUGGAAUGUCUUGCUGUUGUUGCUGGGUCCUUAUAUUCUCUGCAAAGUCUUUAUCCUUUGCUUGUGUACUUGCUUCAAGAAGAUUCUUUAGGUCGUGAGCCUUGACAUCAAGUAAAUUUUGAGAAAGGCUUUUCUCCCUCCAGUGAGCUCCUUCCCAUUGGGCUGGCAAGUGAUUUUGUAACUAAUCGCCUCUUUCACCUGGGUGUUCAUGUUUUCUUUUCUGAUGUUUUCUCUGAGGGAUGUGAGCUGGGAAGAUAGGAGGGAGUUUUAUGGUUAAAAGGUCUUUUAUGGCUUGGAACACGAGCUUUAACUGGAUCCUGCAAUGAAUAACACCCCACACUUGCAGACAUUGUGAAAGGUAGAUGGUGGGUAUCUGACCGAGUAUAUUCCAUCAGCAGCUCCUGAGUAUUAGAGUGUGGUGAGCUGAUCACCAACACAGCACAGAGAGAGAGAGAGAGAGAGAAGAAGAAAGCCCAGCUACAAACCAUUUGACAUAUCCCCACAUGGCCAGGGAGGAUCAGCUCCUGACACUCUAGCCUAGUCUACAGCUACUGCUUAUUUUUUUUUUAGCAAAAGCUUUGGAUCCACCAAGUGGAAUUAUAAACAAUGAGAUUUGCUUUAAUGUUUUCUUUUUAAAUAAAAUAAUGCAAUGAGCAGCCAUGAACCUACCACCCAACAUAAUAAAUAAAAUGUUAUAAAUAUCAUUGAAGCUCUCUCUGAGUAGGGUUGCCAGAUUUAGCCAAAAACAAACAACAGCAGUGAGAAAACAUGCCCAACUAACUUUGAAUUUCAGAUAAACAAUGCAUAAUUGUUUAGUGUAAGUAUGUCCCAUGCAAUAUCUGGGACAUACUUAUACUAAAAAAUGUAUUCAUUGUUUAAAUUCAAAGUUACCUGGGCCUCCAGGUAAUGGCAGGCAACCAUUACCCUAAAGUUGGCUUUAUCAUUCCAUUGCUGUUGUUGAUAGCCUUACACAUUUAUAUGUAUCAAUAAACAAAGUAUUGCUUUCCUUGCUUGUUUUCCAAGCUUAUUAACAUAUCAUAUUUCAUGAAUUUUCCUCUUAACAUUCUAUAUCUGACAUUCCAUUUCACUGCUGAUUCAUUUAUUUUCAUCACUAUAGCUGUUUUAUGAAGAAUCACAUUGAUUUGUCCAUUCUCCAGUUGGUGAACACUUGGGUUGUGUUCAGUUUGUUGUUAGUACAAUGCUGCCUCCAACUUGUUACCUGGUUCUUAUUUGCAAGAGUUUUCCGAGGGCACAUGCCUAGGAGUCAUAGGAGAUGCGCAGUCUCAGCUAUACUAGCUUACAUCACAUCAAAUUGUUUUGCAAAGUGAUUGCAUCACCCAUUAUCACUGUUUAGGAGACCUUGUUGUACCACAGCUUGUCAACACUUAAAUCUGUCAGAUUUUUAAUUUGUACCACAGCUUGUCAACACUUAAAUCUGUCAGAUUUUUAAUUUGUACCAAUCUGGUGGGCAUAAAACUA